rnacentral:siRNA from 1 species
CCGACGAGGAGCAACAGCAG